UGGAAGUCAAUGUCCCAAGACUAUACCUGGAGGAGUUGGGGAUGGCUUUAUACAUGGGGUGAGGCUUGAGAAAACAUGGUGCUCAUAAGGCCAAAAGACUUUGGUAGUGGUAGUAUUGGCUCACGUUUCCUUUCAGAUAGAUUGAAAACCAUGUGCAAAGGCAAAGGAGGUGAGAGAAAGCACUCAACCCCCAAGGAAAAUAGGCCGAGGCCAGAUCAAAAAGGUCUUUAGAUAUGACACCAAAUGUCUCAACCUUCUUUCAGCUGAUGGUGUGGUGAGCGGUUCCAACACAAUACAUGCUUUGGCAACUAUUGUCACAUGCAGACCAUCUUGAGUCACAUAACGUCUUGACUUUCUUAGAUUCAAAAUAUUUUUAUAUCUUUUUUCUACUAUGUAUCCAAAGCACUUAGUUGAAUAGUUUUAUUUUAUGCCUACUUCAUGAAUACUUGACUUCUAAGAAAUAACUUUUCUUUCUCUAGCCUAUUGUAUUUACCCUACAGCCUAGCAUAGAUACACACCUAAAAAUAAUUUUUCUGGACUCAGCCUGGGAGUGAGGCUUAAAUGGCAAUUUAUUCCUGCCUCCAGCUUAUUAAAGAAAUUCCCCAGUCCCCUAUCGUCCCCUUCAUCAAUUUUGAUAAGAGUCAUCCAGAUCCAGUGACUCAGGGACAAAACAAUCACCACCUCAAGUGUUUCAUUCAAUCCUACAGACUAGAGCUCCAGGAAGACUGAAUAGAGACACCCAGGAGAGCUUUCCUGGUUGACAGCACUCCCUGCCUAUCGCCACACAUUGAUGCCAGGAGGGUGAGGUGAACUCACUUCAAGGCGAGAGGGCCGUUGAAGCUUCUGUUUGAAACCCUCUCAGACUCUGCCCUAAGCAUCUCUUCCUCUGGCUGAUUUUAAUCUGUAUCCUUUCCCUGCAAUAAACCAAAGCCAUGGGUGUAACUGUUCUGUGAGCCCUUCUAGUAAAUUUUCAAAACUGAGGGUAGUUUGUGGAUCCCCCCGCCAACCUUGAGGUUCAUGUCAGAAGUAAGAGAGGUCUUGGGGACUGUAUCCUCUAACUGUCUUGGGCAAACUCUAUUCCUCUAAACUCUUUUUUUUUUUUUAACUUUUUACACUGAUAUUCUAGAUUGUUUUUCAAUCAGUAAAGCAAACCUGAUAAAGAAGUUCUAAGAAUCAGGCCCUUCAUACCAUUUAUAGUGGAGGUUGCCUGGCAUUCUGUGUAUCAUUCUAGUUCUUAGCAUGCACAGCUAUCUCCUCUGGAUUCCAUGAGGCAGGAUUCAUCUCAGUUCCCUCUAGCACAGUGGCUAACAGAGCAGGUACUCAGAAGUGCCUGUGACUAGAGUCACAUAUAAGACAGGGUCUGUUCUCAGGAGCUCAGCAUGCACAUGUGGAGACUUCACAGGAAAAUGUAAGGACUUUCACAUUGGUGGCAUCUAGUUUCAAAGAGAAUGGCGAGUGUCUCAGUCAGCUAGGGCUGCCAUAGUAAAAUUCCACACUUCUGUUGGCGUAAGCAACAGAAAUGUACUUGCUCACAGUUCUGGAGACUGGAAGUCCAAGAUCAUAGUGCCAGCAAGGUCAUGCUCUGGUGAAGCAUCUCUUCCUGUCUUGUAAACAGACAUCAUAUUGUGUGUGUUCACAUGGCCUUUGCUUGGUGCAUCUGCAGAGAAAGAGAGGGAGAGAAAGACAAAGAGAUGGAGAGAGAGCUGUUUCUUAUAAGGGCACUAAUCCUAUCAUGGGAGCCUUACCCUCAUGACCUCAUCUCAACCUAAUGACCCUCCCAAAGCCCUGUCUCUAACUACCAUCGCAUUGCGGGCUAGGGCUUCCACAUAGGAAUUUUGGGGGGACAAAAUUCUAUUUAUAGCAGUGACUUAAUCUGAGGUGACCCAAGCAGCUUUGAAUAGGAUUGGGCCUGGUGGACACAAGAGGAAUGGAAAACAGGGUCUGAAGGUGUCGCUUGCAGGGUGACCCCAGGGCCCAGAAUGCCCAUGUCUUCUGCUCCUUAAUCUCCAUGUCCCAAGAGGUGCAUAAGGGGACACUGGGGACACAGAAAAGCCACGUCUUCAUCAGCGGAGGAAAUAGCUCAGGAAAACUCCUAUGCGUUCUUUGGUUUCCCUCAUUAUUAAGACCAAUCAUAGGAAAAUGAGAAAGGAAAAUCCACUCUUCCACCCGAUAUGUGUGUUCUUGUGACUCCCACCUGAUGGAGACGGUUGCUAGGAAACUGUGACCACAGUCUGCAGAUUCUGUCAAGGAGAAAGGACCCCCUCACCCCUGAGUUCUCCUUGAAACUCACAAAGUGCUUAGCUGCAGCCUGUGGUGCAGCAUUCAGGAGAGUUAAUGCUGGCAAUUCACAGAGAAGGGAACUGAAGAUUAGGGGCAUCAGGUAGGCAGCUGGUCAUGGCACCAGCGUGUGGCUUGGAGCCAGCUCCCCUGCUGCCCAGGGAGGUGCUGUCUCUAUUCCAUUGCACUGCCCUCAAGAAGAGGGACCUAGUUCAAAACCAGAAAGGUGAGGCUGCCAUGGUCUGCCCUUUUGGGGCACCUCUGGAAGAGGGUACCUCUUCACCGAAUGUCUUCCUUUGUGUGUUCUCACAGGAUGGCAAUCCCAGGUCUGGAUUAAUGCCUGUGUCUGCUGAAAAACAGUGGGACAGACAGUGCUGGUCCAUGGCUGCCUUCAAAAUGCUACUAAAUUUCUGUCUGCCAUAAAGUGGAGAGAAAAAGAGUGCAAAACUAAAACGGGAAGGUAAUAGUUACAUUUGCCAACUUAAAAUACAUUAGUCUUAGUCUUGACAUCAUCAAAAUGAGGUGAGAGAGGAUAAGGCUCAGAUGUCUGGCUAGGGUUAAGAGCAUGGACAACGUCACCAUGCUUAGAGAGAGGGGAUAGAACAAGCAGCAGGUUUAGGGAAAAAUUUUCCCCAAAUUUCCCACUUUUCAAUUUCUGGCGUGUUGAGUGUGAGCUAAUGGUUAGAAAUGAGGGUGGUGAUGCCCAGGGCUGGUGGGCGGGGUCCAGGGGAUCAUAGGAGACACAGGGAGCAGGAGUAGAGGGUACGGCUGUAUGUGGUGGAAUGAAGAGUAAAUGGAGGGGAAGAAAUGAAAGAAGCAAAUGAAAACUAUUCUUUUAGUAAUUUUGGUAAAGAAGAGAAGGGUAUGAAUGAAAUAGUGUAAGAGUAUUUUAUCAGCUGUGUUGGGAUUAAGAUGGCCAACUCUCAAUCCAGGCUGCCUAGCUUUGAAUUUUGGCUUUACCACCUUUUCACUGUGAUCUUGAGCAAGUUACAUAACUUCCCUGUGUUCCAGUUUCCUCAUCUAGAAAACAACGAUGAUGAUGAUGUCAGUGAUAACCUAUUUUGUACGUUCUCAUAAAUGGUAAGUAUGUUAAUAUAUGCAAACUUACUGGAGCAUUGCCUUGUCCAUGAUAAACUCAACUAGUGUUUGCUCAUCUCAAUUAUCCAGAAAAAAAAUGGAGAAGGGAGGAGGUUGGGCAGUAGUUUUGGAGGCAGAUGCAAUACUGAAAGAAGAUAUUUUUAGGAUAAGUGGAGUGAAUUGUGAAUUCUGACUGCUCUGGUCUGAUCCUAAGUUUCAGUUUUUAGCUAGGUCUGCUCAGUUCAUGAAAUCACAGUGGGCAGGGACCUUCACACAAAGCACCGAGGAUGAGAUGAAUGACAGGAGAGAGGGCAGAUUGGCAGAGCACUGUGUGGGAAAUUAAGCAGUCCCUGGUCUCAUGUCUUACCAUUGCAAUAAUCAGAAGAGCAGGUCUCAUAUCUUGCCUCAGUUUUUUAGGGUUUGAAGCAACAUGGAUCUCUCAAAUGUGAGCACCAAGACUGAAAACCACUAAGGAUAAUGAGAAGCUGUCUUUGUGCACACAUUUUGGUCUCCUCCCAUCCAUGCUGGAAAUAGCCACUUCAAUAUCAUCAGAAGGGUAUAAUGCUGGGAGACACUCUCUGGCCUCAUGGAGUUCCCUGUCCAGUUGGAUGGACACAAAGGCAAGAAGACACAGGGAGCGUGACAGCAGCUAUGAGAGGUGUUGGAGCCUGCGGCUGGGGUGGGCGCGGUGCCGGAAGGCUUCCUGAAGGGAAGGGCUUCUCCACCAGAUCCUAAAAACCAACUGGAACAGACUUUUUCCUCCUGCUAUUGGGCAUCAGAAGCCCAAGUUCUCUGGCCUUUGGACUCCAAGACCUGCAACAGUGCCAUGGUUUCCCUCCUGGCCCCAGUGGAUUUCAGUGCUGACUGAAAGUUACACCAUCAGCUUCCUUGAUUCUGAGGCCUUUGGGCAUGGACUGAGUCACCCUGCCAGCUACCCCGGUUCUCCAUAAUCAUGUUAGACAGUUCCCGUAAGUCCCUUCUUGUUAUCUCUCUAUGUAUCCUAUUGGCUCUGUGUCUCUGGAGAAUCCUCACUAAUACAUAUCCUUUGAGUUGGAUAGAAUUCUCUCCAUUUACAGAUGAGAAAACUGUGCCUCAGGGAGGCUUAAUGCUCAAAUUCAUUCGGCUAUUAAAUGGAGAGCCCCAGUUGGAAUCCAGGCCCACCGGACAUGUACUGUCUACCUGCCUUGGGUGCUGUUCCCAAGGGGCAUGAGUGUUCAUGGGUGGCAAUGGAAUCCCUAGUCCAGUUCAGUGGCGCUUACCUUUUGAAAGUUUAGAGACCUCAGGAACCUCAUGCUGAUUGGAAAUGUGCUUUUUCCUGCCUGACCUUUGAUACGGUUUCACUGUGUCCCUACCCAAAUCGCAUGUUGAAUGGUGAUCCUGAGUGUUGGAGGUGAGACCUGGUGGGAGGUGAUUGGAUCAUGGGGGUGGUUUCUAAUGGUUUAGCACCA